CCUACGGGAGGCAGCAGUGAGGAAUAUUGGUCAAUGGGCGCGAGCCUGAACCAGCCAAGUAGCGUGAAGGAUGACUGCCCUACGGGUUGUAAACUUCUUUUAUAAAGGAAUAAAGUGAGGCACGUGUGCCUUUUUGUAUGUACUUUAUGAAUAAGGAUCGGCUAACUCCGUGCCAGCAGCCGCGGUAAUACGGAGGAUCCGAGCGUUAUCCGGAUUUAUUGGGUUUAAAGGGAGCGUAGAUGGGUUGUUAAGUCAGUUGUGAAAGUUUGCGGCUCAACCGUAAAAUUGCAAUUGAUACUGGCAGCCUUGAGUACAGUUGAGGUAGGCGGAAUUCGUGGUGUAGCGGUGAAAUGCUUAGAUAUCACGAAGAACUCCGAUUGCGAAGGCAGUUCACUGGACUGUAACUGACGUUGAGGCUCGAAAGCGUGGGGAGCAAACAGGAUUAGAUACCCUGGUAGUC
rnacentral:rRNA from 1 species